rnacentral:snoRNA from 1 species
UGGAAAUGAGGAUAAAACGCACGUCUGAAACUUACUGUGAAGACUGAUAAUCCAACUCUGAUCCGAAGCGCUGC